rnacentral:rRNA from 1 species
CUAUACAUGACUCUGCGCAUAUCAAUAAGCGGAGGAAAAGAAACUAACAAGGAUUCCCUUAGUAACGGCGAGUGAAGCGGGAAGAGCUCAAAUUUGAAAUCUUCAAGGUUCUACCUUGACGAAUUGUAGUUUAUAAGAAGUGUUUUCUGUUAGUAGAGUUGGCUAAAAGUUCUUUGGAAUAGGACAUCAUAGAGGGUGAGAAUCCCGUAUUUGACCAUUAUUUCAGCUGUGUGAUACACUUUCAAAGAGUCGGAUUGUUUGGGAAUGCAGUCCAAAAUGGGUGGUAAAUUUCAUCUAAAGCUAAAUAUUGGCGAGAGACCGAUAGCGAACAAGUACCGUGAGGGAAAGAUGAAAAGAACUUUGAAAAGAGAGUUAAACAGUACGUGAAAUUGUCAAAAGGGAAGCGUUUGACACCAGUGUUGUUUUCUCGAAAAUCAAUUAAAAAGGAUGGAUUUUGUGUUGUAUUGACCUUAUCAAGCUUUCUUCACUUUUUCUUAGUCUUUCUUAAUGCACUUUUCGUUUAACAAGUCAACAUCAGUUUCUUUUGUUGUAAAAGGGUCAUUGGAAGGUGGCUUUUCUUUCGGAGAAAGUGUUUAUAGCCUUUGCUUCUGCAAUCGGAGAGAUUGAGGUCUGCAGCGUAGAUCCUUCGGGGUUAGAUACAUUUGUGCUAAGCUAUAGUUCUUUAUAGACAACUUGUUGACUAUAUCUAGUCCUGUAGCUUACUCGCUUAUGCUAUUUUACCUACGCUUAGGAUGUUGACACACGCGCGUGCUCG